CCCCAAAAAACCCAAAAUGUGACGGGGUUACCCAAAGUGUUCUCUUAAGAACUGUGGCAGGUGAGUAAUGUCCCCUGCUAGAAAGGAGAGGGCAAGGCUGGUGCCAGCCGCCGCGGUAAAACCAGCUCUUCAAGUGGUCGGGAUAAUUAUUGGGCUUAAAGUGUCCGUAGCCGGUUUAGUAAGUUCCUGGUAAAAUCGGGUAGCUUAACUAUCUGCAUGCUAGGAAUACUGCCAUACUAGAGGGCGGGAGAGGUCUGAGGUACUACAGGGGUAGGGGUGAAAUCUUAUAAUCCUUGUAGGACCACCAGUGGCGAAGGCGUCAGACUGGAACGCGCCUGACGGUGAGGGACGAAAGCCAGGGGAGCGAACCGGAUUAGAUACCCGGGUAGUCCUGGCCGUAAACGAUGCAUACUAGGUGAUGGUACGGCCAUGAGCCGUAUCAGUGCCGUAGGGAAACCGUUAAGUGUGCCGCCUGGGAAGUACGGUCGCAAGGCUAAAACUUAAAGGAAUUGGCGGGGGA
rnacentral:rRNA from 1 species